rnacentral:snRNA from 1 species
AUACUUACCUGGAUGGGGUCUAUGGGUGAUCAUAAAGACGCAUGGCCUAGAUCAGUGACUUUCAUUGCACUUUGAAAGGGUAGUGAUUUAAGGUCUACUCAUGUAGUGGAGCCUACGUCGUAAUUUGUUGCAGCGGGGCUUGCAUUUGUGCAGUCCCUUC